rnacentral:pre_miRNA from 1 species
UAUGUACUCCCUCCGUCCCAAAAUUCUUGUCUUAGAUUUGCCUAGAUACGGAUGUAUCUAAUACUAAAACGUGACUUGAUACAUCCGUAUUUAGACAAAUCUAAGACAAAAAAUUUGGGACGGAGGGAGUAGUAU